GUGAACUGAAAGAUACCCUCCCUGCGAAGACGUACCCACAGUGAAUCUUGAUGGGGGACCAGUGUGCUCCACUGCCAGCGAAGAUGUUGGGAGCACUCUGAGGAGCUGUAUUCUAGCAGCAGCAGUACCACCCCUCCCAUCCCCCACUGCCAUCAGGUCCAUAAGAACAUUCAAAGUUUACUGAUCUAACAGACCAAAGAAAAUACCACCCAUGACAGAGCUGGCUAAACAGCAAUCCUAUUAUCCCUCUCUGGCACGAUGGGAAAGUGCAUUUCCCAAAUACCGCUGUAAUUAGGCUGAGGCCACGUGACUGGGUCUGGCCAAUGCUGCAGGCUAGAAAAGACGUCAAGUGGCUUCUGGGCCUGGCACAAAGCCCUGCACUCAAUGGCUCAUGCGCUCUCCUCCUGUGGUAACAUCAAAGGCCACGAGUGAAAGAUGGUGGCGAUCCAAGAUGGAAGCUGUUUGGAUUCGUGUGUCACCUCUUGGAAGAGAGCCACUAAUCUGCUUUGGCUGUGACUUGAGCAAGUAGUAAACUUAAAGUGUGUCAGGCCUAUGAAGCCAAGGGUUCUUUAUGUAGGGCUUGUUAUCCCAGCUCAGGCACUUGGUCAGCAGUAAAGCAUGGCUUUUCUCUAGGAUCACUCAAACCUCUAUGCACUUGGCUGUCUACACUGGUGCUCGCUGGCUGGAGCCUGGCAUUGUCGUGAGAAGACAGACAGUCUAUGACAAAGCAUAUUGGCCUCUUGUCACAGCAUCUGAAAACAGACUACAGAUAUUUGAAUGGGUAUAUGUACAUAUAUACACACUUUUAUGGACAAGCCUUGAAGCAUUUGCUGAUAAACACAUACUUCUGGGGAAAUUCAUAUUUUCUAAAUCAAAGUCAAGAAAAAUGAAGUCGAUCUGGGUAUGGAGGCUCACGCACUUGUGAGGCUGGGGCAGGAGUACUGCCGUAUAUUAGAGGCUAGUGUGGCCUACACAAUGAGAUGCUGUCUCAAAAGGAAAAUAAGAGAGAAGAGAGGGAAAGAGGAAGGAAAGAGACAGAAAAUAAGCAGAAAGAGAGAGGAAGGUCAAAUGAAGACAGAGUUCUUCAUGCUUCCAAACAGCGUUGUUUUACUGAACUGGAACAUAAUGAUGCUGCCCCAUGGAGUGUGUCCUCAGGCUCCCCCAACUCCCAUCUCAAUGCUUGUCUUUGAGGAGAGCACCUUUUGUUAUACCUCAAGCGUUCAUUGCCAUCUCCAAGGGGACAGCUGGGUACUUUCGCUCUCCAGAUGAAAGGCCACUACGUAGGCAGUGGGCACUCGAACCUCAGGAUGCCUUUGAGCUGAGAAUGAACUCUGGAGAAAGCCAAACCACUGUGCAUGGAAACAAGAGCCGAGGGCUGGGAGGCUCAUGGUGUCCUCUCUGGAGGCUUUCAUCCUACUGAGGAGCAGAGUGAAGGGAGGAGAACCAAUGUCUAGGAUGAGCCACCACAGCAGCAGAGAGAAAAAACCAACAGGGAGAACAGGACUCUUAAAAAUGUCACUCAAAUAUCCAAACACACUGUGACAGUUUCUGACCUACGGUUCACCAGUGGCUGAGAGAAACAGAGAUGGAGCUGAGUGAUAUGAAGACGGGGAUGUGGCUGGGCAGAUUGGGACAGGGACAGAAACAGGAAGAGGAAAAGGCUAUGAGACAUGGUGACAGAUGUGUCCCCUCUGCCACCACACCGCAGAAGCCCAUAAAGCUAUACCUGAUGCUAAUUGUGCUUUUAAGCUGUGUGUGGGGUGGGUCCACUCACCCACACGGGCAUGCGUGGAGGCCCAAGGCUUGUAUUGGAUCGUCUUCCUCGAAUGCUUCUUUACCUUCUUUUUUGAGACAAGGUCCCUUACUGAACCUGAAGCUGUCUGGUGAGCCCCCAGGCUCUCUGUCCCAGAACCCUGAGCUGAUAUCACAGGUAUGUGCUGCUACUAUGACCAGCUUUACAUGGGUUCUAGAGAUGCAGACCCAGGACCCCAGGCUCACUCACUGAAACAUUUCUCCUGCCCUGUGCUCCUGUUUCUACCUGAGAAAAUGUUAUUUGGAACUCCUCGAAAACGUUUUGCUUUCUACCUCAGAUGUAGAAGCCAGGGCUUCUAGGAGAGGUCUCUUUCUUGUUUUCUUGUGGAAAUUCCAGGCUAACCACACUCAGCCAUUAGUUUCUGCCUCCUCCGGUCAUCUGUAGUGAGCUGUGGCGUGCCUUUCUUCUGGGAGGCCAUGUUUCUUUGUGUGGGUUUAAACCUUUCAUGCUUCCAGGAUGCAUUUGUUUAUUGUUCCUGACACCUCUCUGCACAUGCUUCCACACCAGACAGAAUUUAGUUAGGGCCGGAGCUGCCCAGGCUUAGCUGCGGCCGUCACAUUUUUCUUUUCUUCUUUUUUAAUGUAGCAUCUUUUCAGCAGAUGGUGGCAGAGGAAUUAGUAGCACUGGAUUCUAGUUCAUAACCAUUUGGAUGAUCUUGACCCUUGACCUUUGCCGCUUUGGACGGAACGGCCAAGUGAUGACCUGGUUCAUGUCUGUAGAUUCUCUGUCUCUGACUCUUGGGUAACCCUUGUAGGUAAACUUUGCCUCUUUGCUCUCUUCACUUUUUCUUUUCAGCAGUGACCCCUCUGCUCUUCAGUCUGGCCUCCUCCAGCAGAGGAUGGCUAGGAACAAAGAUGGCUGAGCAUUGUGCUGACUCGGAUGAGCUUGGGUAAAAUGUGUGUGGAAGGAAGUCAGACGCACCUAAAUUUAGGUUUACAUCAUUGUAACAAAAUACCCAAGGCUGGUAACUGUAUAUAUAUAAAAAGACAUGGCUUAUUUACAUUACUUACAGUUGUGAAUGUCCAAGGACCCACAUCUUGUGAUGGGUGGCCUUCUUGGUGGCCAAGUCCCGAGGCUGCUCAGAUAUCACAGAGUGAGAGGCAGGGAAUGUACACACAUGUGUUCCAGUCUUUCUCCCUCUAAGAAAGCCACUAGAAUUCAAUCAUGGGGCCGCCACAUGAGGAGUUUAAUCCCAAUCACCCCCAAACUCAUCUCUAUACAUUACAUUAAGUUCAUUCACAUCUUAAUUCCUCAAAAUGGGGAUUAAAUUUGAACUCAUAACCCUGGGGGACACAUUCUAACCCUUUGCAAAUCAUAGCAUAUGGUUG